rnacentral:rRNA from 1 species
UACGUAGGAGGCAAGCGUUAUCCGGAUUUACUGGGCGUAAAGAGUGCGUAGGUGGUUCGACAAGUCGGAUGUGAAAUCUCUCGGCUUAACUGAGAGAAGCCAUUCGAUACUGUUGGGCUAGAGGGCAGCAGAGGGAGAUGGAAUUCCCGGUGUAGUGGUGAAAUGCGUAGAUAUCGGGAGGAACACCAGUGGCGAAGGCGGUCUCCUAGGCUGUUCCUGACACUGAGGCACGAAAGCGUGGGGAG